rnacentral:rRNA from 1 species
AGUGAACGCUGGCGGUAGGCCUAACACAUGCAAGUCGAACGGCAGCACAGGAGAGCUUGCUCUCUGGGUGGCGAGUGGCGGACGGGUGAGGAAUACAUCGGAAUCUGCCCAGUCGUGGGGGAUAACGUAGGGAAACUUACGCUAAUACCGCAUACGACCUUCGGGUGAAAGAGGGGGAUCGCAAGACCUCUCGCGAUUGGAUGAGCCGAUGUCGGAUUAGCUAGUUGGCGGGGUAAUGGCCCACCAAGGCGACGAUCCGUAGCUGGUCUGAGAGGAUGAUCAGCCACACUGGAACUGAGACACGGUCCAGACUCCUACGGGAGGCAGCAGUGGGGAAUAUUGGACAAUGGGCGCAAGCCUGAUCCAGCCAUACCGCGUGGGUGAAGAAGGCCUUCGGGUUGUAAAGCCCUUUUGUUGGGAAAGAAAUCUUUCAGGCUAAUACCCGGGGAGGAUGACGGUACCCAAAGAAUAAGCACCGGCUAACUUCGU